GCAAGGUUGAGAGCUGGAACGCCGAGGGGCGGCGAACAAAGAGCCCCGACAGAAAGGUAAAAGCAGCCUCCAUAACAACACGCUAUAUCUUAUGGAGAAAAAAAAUGUAUUUGGGAGCAGCUAGGUAAUUUGACCAGUAUGGAUGGUAUGUCUAGUGUUAUACUUUAUCUGAAUGGACUAGGAAAUCUUUACUAUUAUCAGUUUAAAUCAACAAAUAAUUGCCAAGUCCCCUCCUCCUCUGGGACUACCUCAAGAUAUAACAGAUGUUGGAAGACACGAAAGAAAGGUCAAGGUAAUCCAAGAUCACAGGAUUCCUUGAUGGCAUAACUGGAAUUAGAAAACAGGCAUGACUGUAAGGAGGAACUACGGAAUGCUAACUACAUGCCCGGCUCUACGCUAGGCACAUUACAUCUGUGAUUUCACUGAUAUCUUUUAAGACACCUAAUGAGGUGGAAUGCCGAGUAUAAUACAUCCAAAGACAUUACAAAUUCUUCUUAUGUUAGGGAAGGCAAGACACCCCCACCUCCAACAGUUAUGCAGCAUCAGCAAAAACAGAGUCCAAAACAACUGUGCAUCACACUGGGAGCCAGUGAAGGAGAGGGAACGGAGAGCAGGUGUUCGGUUGCCUGGUGAAUGGUCCAUUUAAAAAUUCAACAAUAGUCAGAGGGGAGUAGAGAGUACAACAGCCACCACCGUAAUUGGUGAAAUCAGGAUUUCUCAAUUCAGUGUAAACUCACACCCUAAAAGAAGGCACACUAUAAAGCAGAUUUCCAUAAACACAGUGCAUCAUUUACUCCUAACGAUAUUAUUUUAAAAGCAUGCUCUUCAGGCAAAAUCGCUGAAAGACCUACUCAAGCAACAAAAACCAGUGCUGCUUCAAUGUCAAAUCUCCCUAUGAGAUAUUAAUCAUUAGCUGGAAGAAAUAGGCAAAAGCAGUUUUUUACUGCAGAACCAACUAAUUAUCUUUCAUAACUCUUCUGAAAACCAAAUGUAAAAGCUCAAGUGAAAAACAUGUUAAAUGCAUUUGUGUCUAGACUUUGCCAAGAAAAUAAGGGAGUUUAAGUGCACAAAAUCAAAAGAUCUUACUAAACUAGAAUUUCAAAUAAAGGUAAAAAAAAUCA